UUGCACGCUGGCGGCAGGCCUAACACAUGCAAGUCGAAUGGUAACAGGAAACAGCUUGCUGUUUCGCUGACGAGUGGCGGACGGGUGAGUAAUGUCUGGGAAACUGCCUGAUGGAGGGGGAUAACUACUGGAAACGGUAGCUAAUACCGCAUAACGUCGCAAGACCAAAGAGGGGGACCUUCGGGCCUCUUGCCAUCAGAUGUGCCCAGAUGGGAUUAGCUAGUAGGUGGGGUAACGGCUCACCUAGGCGACGAUCCCUAGCUGGUCUGAGAGGAUGACCAGCCACACUGGAACUGAGACACGGUCCAGACUCCUACGGGAGGCAGCAGUGGGGAAUAUUGCACAAUGGGCGCAAGCCUGAUGCAGCCAUGCCGCGUGUAUGAAGAAGGCCUUCGGGUUGUAAAGUACUUUCAGCGGGGAGGAAGGGAGUAAAGUUAAUACCUUUGCUCAUUGACGUUACCCGCAGAAGAAGCACCGGCUAACUCCGUG
rnacentral:rRNA from 1 species